rnacentral:rRNA from 1 species
AGAACGAACGCUGGCGGCAUGCCUAAUACAUGCAAGUCGAACGAACUCUUCGGAGUUAGUGGCGCACGGGUGCGUAACGCGUGGGAAUCUGCCCUUGGGUUCGGAAUAACAGUUGGAAACGACUGCUAAUACCGGAUGAUGACGAAAGUCCAAAGAUUUAUCGCCCAGGGAUGAGCCCGCGUAGGAUUAGCUAGUUGGUGAGGUAAAGGCUCACCAAGGCGACGAUCCUUAGCUGGUCUGAGAGGAUGAUCAGCCACACUGGGACUGAGACACGGCCCAGACUCCUACGGGAGGCAGCAGUAGGGAAUAUUGGACAAUGGGCGAAAGCCUGAUCCAGCAAUGCGCGUGAGUGAUGAGGCCUUAGGGUUGUAAAGCUCUUUACCCGAGAUGAUAAUGACAGUAUCGGGAGAAUAAGCCCGGCUAACUCCGUGCCAGCAGCCGAC